rnacentral:rRNA from 1 species
AGAGUUUGAUCCUGGCUCAGAGCGAACGCUGGCGGCAGGCCUAACACAUGCAAGUCGAGCGGAAAGGCCCUUCGGGGUACUCGAGCGGCGAACGGGUGAGUAACACGUGAGCAACCUGCCCCUGACUCUGGGAUAAGCCCGGGAAACUGGGUCUAAUACCGGAUACGACCGCCCCCGGCAUCGGGUGGUGGUGGAAAGUUUUUUCGGUUGGGGAUGGGCUCGCGGCCUAUCAGCUUGUUGGUGGGGUAGUGGCCUACCAAGGCGACGACGGGUAGCCGGCCUGAGAGGGCGACCGGCCACACUGGGACUGAGACACGGCCCAGACUCCUACGGGAGGCAGCAGUGGGGAAUAUUGCGCAAUGGGCGGAAGCCUGACGCAGCGACGCCGCGUGGGGGAUGACGGCCUUCGGGUUGUAAACCUCUUUCAGCAGGGACGAAGUUGACGUGUACCCGCAGAAGAAGCGCCGGCUAACUACGUGCCAGCAGCCGCGGUAAUAC